rnacentral:rRNA from 1 species
AGAGUUUGAUCAUGGCUCAGAACGAACGCUGGCGGCAUGCCUAACACAUGCAAGUCGAACGAGACCUUCGGGUCUAGUGGCGCACGGGUGCGUAACGCGUGGGAAUCUGCCCUGGGGUGCGGAAUAACUCGGAGAAAUCCGUGCUAAUACCGCACAAUGUCUUCGGACCAAAGAUUUAUCGCCCUGGGAUGAGCCCGCGUAGGAUUAGCUAGUUGGUGGGGUAAAGGCCUACCAAGGCGACGAUCCUUGGCUGGUCUGAGAGGAUGAUCAGCCACACUGGGACUGAGACACGGCCCAGACUCCUACGGGAGGCAGCAGUGGGAAUAUUGGACAAUGGGCGAAAGCCUGAUCCAGCAAUGCCGCGUGAGUGAUGAAGGCCCUAGGGUUGUAAAGCUCUUUUACCUGGGAUGAUAAUGACAGUACCGGGAGAAUAAGCUCCGGCUAACUCCGUG